AUGAACGCUAGCGGCAGGCUUAACACAUGCAAGUAGAACGGUAACAGUCCUUCAGAAGAUGACGAGUGGCGCACGGGUGCGUAACGCGUAUACAACCUGCCUUGAACAAAGGGAUAGCCCAUGGAAACGUGGAUUAAUACCUUAUAACAUCAUUUUAUGGCAUCAUAGAAUGAUCAAAGAUUUAUCGGUUCAAGAGGGGUAUGCGUGACAUUAGCUAGUUGGUGAGGUAACGGCCCACCAAGGCUACGAUGUCUAGGGGUUCUGAGAGGAUGAUCCCCCACACUGGUACUGAGACACGGACCAGACUCCUACGGGAGGCAGCAGUGAGGAAUAUUGCGCAAUGGAGGAAACUCUGACGCAGCCAUGCCGCGUGAAGGAAUGAAUGCCCUAUGGGUUGUAAACUUCUUUAUAUGGGAAGAAAUAUAGAUACGUGUAUUUAUUUGACGGUACCAUACGAAUAAGCACCGGCUAACUCCGUGCCAGCAGCCGCGGUAAUACGGAGGGUGCAAGCGUUAUCCGGAUUCAUUGGGUUUAAAGGGUACGUAGGCGGAUAGAUAAGUCAGUGGUGAAAGCCCGAAGCUCAACUUCGGAACUGCCAUUGAAACUGUUUAUCUUGAAUUUGGUUGAAGUGGGCGGAAUAUGACAUGUAGCGGUGAAAUGCAUAGAUAUGUCAUGGAACACCAAUAGUGAAGACAGCUCACUAAACCAAUAUUGACGCUGAGGUACGAAAGCAUGGGUAGCGAACAGGAUUAGAUACCCUGGUAGUCCAUGCCGUAAACGAUGAUUACUAGCUAUUAGGGAACUUGAUUCCUUAGUGGCGCAGCUAACGCACUAAGUAGACCGCCUGGGGAGUACGGCCGCAAGGUUAAAACUCAAAUGAAUUGACGGGGGCCCGCACAAGCGGUGGAGCAUGUGGUUUAAUUCGAUGCAACGCGAAGAACCUUACCAGGUCUUGACAUCCUGCGAACUUUCUAGAGAUAGAUUGGUGCCUUCGGGAACGCAGUGACAGGUGCUGCAUGGCUGUCGUCAGCUCGUGUCGUGAGAUGUUGGGUUAAGUCCCGUAACGAGCGCAACCCUUGUCCUUAGUUGCCAGCACGUAAUGGUGGGAACUCUAAGGAGACUGCCGGUGACAAACCGGAGGAAGGUGGGGACGACGUCAAGUCAUCAUGGCCCUUACGACCUGGGCUACACACGUGCUACAAUGGCCGGUACAGAGGGCUGCAACCCCGCGAGGGUGAGCUAAUCCCACAAAACCGGUCGUAGUCCGGAUUGGAGUCUGCAACUCGACUCCAUGAAGUCGGAAUCGCUAGUAAUCGUGAAUCAGAAUGUCACGGUGAAUACGUUCCCGGGCCUUGUACACACCCCCC
rnacentral:rRNA from 1 species